GACAGAGGGGGCAAGCGUUGCUCGGAAUUACUGGGCGUAAAGGGCGCGUAGGCGGGAUGGCAAGUCGGUCGUGAAAUCCUUCGGCUCAACCGAAGAACGUCGAUCGAUACUGCUGUUCUUGAGGGUUGCAGAGGAGACUGGAAUUCCCGGUGUAGCGGUGAAAUGUGUAGAGAUCGGGAGGAAGGCCGGUGGCGAAGGCGGCGCUCUGGAACAUUUCUGACGCUGAGGCUCGAAAGCGUGGGGAGCAAACAGG
rnacentral:rRNA from 1 species